rnacentral:rRNA from 1 species
GAUGAACGCUGGCGGCGUGCCUAAUACAUGCAAGUCGAGCGAACAGACGAGGAGCUUGCUCCUCUGACGUUAGCGGCGGACGGGUGAGUAACACGUGGAUAACCUACCUAUCAGACUGGGAUAACUUCGGGAAACCGGAGCUAAUACCGGAUAAUAUAUUGAACCGCAUGGUUCAAUAGUGAAAGACGGUUUUGCUGUCACUUAUAGAUGGAUCCGCGCCGCAUUAGCUAGUUGGUAAGGUAACGGCUUACCAAGGCAACGAUGCGUAGCCGACCUGAGAGGGUGAUCGGCCACACUGGAACUGAGACACGGUCCAGACUCCUACGGGAGGCAGCAGUAGGGAAUCUUCCGCAAUGGGCGAAAGCCUGACGGAGCAACGCCGCGUGAGUGCUGAAGGUCUUCGGAUCGUAAAACUCUGUUAUUAGGGAAGAACAAAUGUGUAAGUAACUAUGCACGUCUUGACGGUACCUAAUCAGAAAGCCACGGCUAACUACGUG